GGCUCGUUGGUCUAAGGGUAUGCUUCUCGCUUUGAGUGCGAGAGGUCCAGGGUUCAAAUCCCAGAUGAGCCC